GAGUUUGAUCAUGGCUCAGAUUGAACGCUGGCGGCAGGCUUAACACAUGCAAGUCGAGCGGAGAUGAGGUGCUUGCACCUUAUCUUAGCGGCGGACGGGUGAGUAAUGCUUAGGAAUCUGCCUAUUAGUGGGGGACAACAUUCCGAAAGGGAUGCUAAUACCGCAUACGUCCUACGGGAGAAAGCAGGGGAUCUUCGGACCUUGCGCUAAUAGAUGAGCCUAAGUCGGAUUAGCUAGUUGGUGGGGUAAAGGCCUACCAAGGCGACGAUCUGUAGCGGGUCUGAGAGGAUGAUCCGCCACACUGGGACUGAGACACGGCCCAGACUCCUACGGGAGGCAGCAGUGGGGAAUAUUGGACAAUGGGGGGAACCCUGAUCCAGCCAUGCCGCGUGUGUGAAGAAGGCCUUAUGGUUGUAAAGCACUUUAAGCGAGGAGGAGGCUACUGAGACUAAUACUCUUGGAUAGUGGACGUUACUCGCAGAAUAAGCACCGGCUAACUCUGUGCCAGCAGCCGCGGUAAUACAGAGGGUGCGAGCGUUAAUCGGAUUUACUGGGCGUAAAGCGUGCGUAGGCGGCUUUUUAAGUCGGAUGUGAAAUCCCCGAGCUUAACUUGGGAAUUGCAUUCGAUACUGGGAAGCUAGAGUAUGGGAGAGGAUGGUAGAAUUCCAGGUGUAGCGGUGAAAUGCGUAGAGAUCUGGAGGAAUACCGAUGGCGAAGGCAGCCAUCUGGCCUAAUACUGACGCUGAGGUACGAAAGCAUGGGGAGCAAACAGGAUUAGAUACCCUGGUAGUCCAUGCCGUAAACGAUGUCUACUAGCCGUUGGGGCCUUUGAGGCUUUAGUGGCGCAGCUA
rnacentral:rRNA from 1 species